rnacentral:rRNA from 1 species
AUACGUAGGUGGCGAGCGUUGUCCGGAAUUAUUGGGCGUAAAGAGCAUGUAGGCGGCUUAAUAAGUCGAGCGUGAAAAUGCGGGGCUCAACCCCGUAUGGCGCUGGAAACUGUUAGGCUUGAGUGCAGGAGGGGAAAGGGGAAUUCCCAGUGUAGCGGUGAAAUGCGUAGAUAUUGGGGGGAAUACCAGUGGCGAAGGCGCCUUUCUGGAGUGUGUCUGACGUUGAGAUGCGAAAGCCAGGGGAGCGAACGGGAUUAGACACCCGGGUAGUCCUGGCCGUAAACGAUGGGUACUAGGUGUAGGAGGUAUCGACCCCUUCUGUGCCGGAGUUAACGCAAUAAGUACCCCGCCUGGGGAGUACAGCCGCAAGGUUGAAACUCAAAGGAAUUGACGGGG